rnacentral:rRNA from 1 species
AUUGAACGCUGGCGGCAGGCUUAACGCAUGCAUGUCGAGCGGAGCGAGGGUGCUUGCACCUUAGCUUAGCGGCGGACGGGUGAGUAAUGCUUAGGAAUCUGCCUAUUAGUGGGGGACAACAUUCCGAAAGGAAUGCUAAUACCGCAUACGCCCUACGGGGGAAAGCAGGGGAUCUUCGGACCUUGCGCUAAUAGAUGAGCCUAAGUCGGAUUAGCUAGGUGGUGGGGUAAAGGCCUACCAAGGCGACGAGCUGUAGCGGGUCUGAGAGGAUGACCCGCCACACUGGGACUGGGACACGGCCCAGACUCCUACGGGAGGCAGCAGUGGGGAAUAUUGGACAAUGGGGGGAACCCUGAUCCAGCCAUGCCGCGUGUGUGAAGAAGGCCUUAUGGUUGUAAAGCACUUUAAGCGAGGAGGAGGCUACUGAGACUAAUACUCUUGGAUAGUGGACGUUACUCGCAGAAUAAGCACCGGCUAACUCUGUGCCAGCCGCCGCCGUAAAAC